UACGGGGGGUGCAAGCGUUGUUCGGAAUCAUUGGGCGUAAAGGGCGUGUAGGCGGCUUGGUAAGUCAGAUGUGAAAGCCCUGGGCUUAACCCAGGAAGUGCAUUUGAAACUGCCAGGCUUGAGUAGGGAAGAGGAAGGUGGAAUUCCUGGUGUAGAGGUGAAAUUCGUAGAUAUCAGGAGGAACACCGGUGGCGAAGGCGACCUUCUGGUCCUAUACUGACGCUGAGACGCGAAAGCAUGGGUAGCAAACAGG
rnacentral:rRNA from 1 species